UACAGGAUGACAAAUGGCGCCUCAUUGC
rnacentral:sRNA from 1 species